rnacentral:rRNA from 1 species
UACGUAGGGGGCGAGCAUUGUCCGGAAUUAUUGGGCGUAAAGAGCGUGUAGGCGGUUCGGUAAGUCUGCCGUGAAAUCCUGGGGCUCAACCCCGGGCGUGCGGUGGAUACUGCCGGGCUAGAGGGUGGUAGAGGCGAGUGGAAUUCCCGGUGUAGCGGUGAAAUGCGCAGAUAUCGGGAGGAACACCAGUAGCGAAGGCGGCUCGCUGGGCCAUUCCUGACGCUGAGACGCGAAAGCUAGGGGAGCGAACAGG